UAACCCUCCCGUCCUGAGUGGCCGUGGCUAUUUAUGAAAUCCAGCAGAAGGAGGAUGCUCGGCAGCGCAAUGCCGCUCCGACCCCAACCUCUGCAGCGGGGCUGACCCCCCCCCCCAGCCCUGGAAGGGGGGCACAGCCCGCACCCCUCGGCGCUGGGGUGACCGCCAGAGCCCAGCACUGAGACGCCCGCCUUGAGGCGGGCAGCCGGGGGCUCUGAGGAGCCGGCAGCUCGGCCCGGGAGAAGGGCUCGGCCACCGAGGCGGCACCCCCUCAGGAGCCUCCCUCCCGCCGCCGGUGAGCGCCUCACGCCUGUCACCAAUCCCCCCCCCUCCCGCCACAGCACAGCUGCCGCCCGCCGCCAGCGGGACGUGAGGAGAAUUGAGGUGAAACCCGCCCCACCGCAACCAGAGGAUCGGAAGGGCUACAUGGGAGAGCAAAUAGAAGCGUGUAAAUAGUAUCAGACCUCUAAAGUGGGUUUUAUAAAAAUGGGCUGACGUAUAUCAGGAAUCAGCAUUGACAUUAGAGAAACAACGAUGCGGUGAGCUCAGCUAUUACUUGCUGCCUCUUCCAUGUCCCAUAGUUGGGAGGCAUGGCUGGUGGUUGGGAGAACUGGCAAUUUGGGGGAUUUACUGGGUGAAUUAAAGUAUUGAAGGAACAGGAAGGUCACAGGGGAAAUGAGAGUACGGAGGAGUGAGAGGAAGGAGCACAGCAUAUAAAUCUAUCAAAACUGAGUUUCAUUAGUUCAUUGUUCAUGGAACAAUUUGUUUUGCUCUCUUAAUUGGGUAAGAUGGAGAAGACAGUGGUAACUCAGCAAGAUCCCUUCUGAAGUAACCAGGCUGGUCAGGAAAGUUGUUUCUCCCUCCCAAAUAUCCCUUCUCAUCAGUCGUUACUGUUCUGCCCUGAAGAUUCGGAGUCAGAUGGUUGCAAGCGUAAGCUCCCAUCUUAGGUUCCCCAAUGCUGAAUUUUUCCAGGAGGGUGCUGACGCAGGAGAGGAAUACCACAGAUUAGUCAACACUUGCACAAAAAAAAAAUAACCAAGGAGUACAGUGAAGAAAAAAAGCACAAGUGGUAUGUGUCUGGCAGAGAGAAGGUAGCUCCUGGUCUCAGCAGCAGCAGCUGCUGCAAGGUUCAGAUGCCAGCCUGAGCCUUGCGGAAAGAUAUUUCUCCCAGCGGAGAUGUGAGACGCUUUGGCUGAUCUGGGUCUAAAUGCAGGCAGAAAAACAUAGAUGGCAUUUCAGACUUGCAUGAGUGCCCAUUUAACACUGUGAUCUACCUGAGCUGAAAGUCUUAAUGUUAAAAAUAAAGGCAGAAUUUGGAAUUUAAAGACUAUUCAAGUACCUAGUCCUGAACAAAUAGCUUCUAGAUAUCCUUAGAGCUAACAGAAGUGGGCCUGGAGGGGAUUAAAAGAAGUAAGAAAGCAUGAGUAGUUGCAAUAAGUAAACACUAUUUCCUUUUCCCUGAUAUUUGCUGUAGUCAGAUUUAUGCAUAUAGAAAUCAAGUGACGUGAGACUCUAUCUCCUGCUGCUUCAUUCCACCCUCACGCUUCAGCACACAGAGUUCACUGAUCUUAUCUGGGAACUUCUCCUAAAAUAAAACAAGCAAAACUGAGAGAAUACCAGAAAUGACAAAUAACUAAUUUCUCCACCAGUGUGAUACUCUUAAGACUUGAGCUGAAGGCUGAACCUGCCAGCAAGAUUCCCAAGGAAACUUCUCGUCUCUGGGCUGUGCAAUUGCACUUAAAGAGAAAGCGAAAGAGGCUGCAAACAGCUCUUGAAGAAGAAGCAGGUGGUUGGGAAUCUGCCCCCACCCCUCCCACCCCCCGCAACAAAAUGCCUUUGGAAAAAUUAUCCUUAAUUCUGGAUUACUCGUUGUUGCUGGAAAACGAUCUUACCUCACUGCAUCUGAUGAGAAUGGAAACACGAUAUAAUCAUCAUAAUAACAAAUAUUACACACUCUUAUUUUGCACAAACUGCUUUGCACUGCAAGAGGAUGUUUCACUGGCAGAUUGCAAAGCUCCCCCAAACUGAGCAAGGAUUACAAAAGAAUCACUUUCUGCUGAAAAAAGCCCUUUCUCAAACACAGCAGCCAGUUAAUAACUAACCGCAAGAUGCAGGGUAGUUUAGUACAGGAAAUAAGCUCAUACUUCAGUGGAAGUGCAGGGGGACAUUAGGUAAACAGAUUAGGGGGGCUGGGUGUUGGCCAAAAUAUUGGUACUCUAGAGGUAUGCUGACAACAAGCACUGCUGUUUUUUUGACUGUCCCCUUGGAUGGUUCACAGCCACUUCUUCCCCAUCUCGCCAGAAAUACCGCUCCUCCGCCGGAGCCGUGCCUUCUGCACGAGGUCUGUGUGAGACGUGGAUCCUGCAGCCACUUCCUGCAGCAGGCGGCCGCGCUUGUGUAGCUUCUGCCGGACGAACAGAUUGCAACAGAGCUGACCUGGACUGUACGUGUGGUCCUGAUAAGAAACGUCCACCGGUGAAACCAAUAAUUGCUGGACGGGUGAGAACAUUUGCAGCGGUGCUUCUGUGGGCAGGAGGGCCUCUCCUGCUCAUUGGCCAUACGGCAGACCUUGUCACAGCAGUGUGGAAGUUGUAGCCAUGUUGCAGUUAUUUUUUUCUUGCCUUUUCACAGCAGAAGGGUUCCUCUAUCACACCCUUUUAAAAUAGCUCAGCGCUUUUAAUCCUUUGGUAAAUUCACAGAAGUUCUGUGCUGUCUUUUUUGUUCUUGUUAAGUAAAGGAAAAUCUAAACUA